UACGGAGGGUGCAAGCGUUAUCCGGAAUCACUGGGCUUAAAGGGUGCGUAGGCGGCUUGGUAAGUCAGGGGUGAAAGCUUCGCGCUUAACGCGAGAACUGCCUUUGAUACUGCCGAGCUUGAAAGAGGUUGAGGUCAGCGGAACGUGACAUGUAGCGGUGAAAUGCAUAGAUAUGUGGCAGAACACCAAUGGCGAAGGCAGCUGACUGGACCAACUUUGACGCUGAGGCACGAAAGCGUGGGGAGCAAACAGG
rnacentral:rRNA from 1 species